CUAUCUUAUAAUCUAACAAUCCUACUUCUGGGUAUAUCCAAAGGAAACAAAAUCAUUAUCUUAAAGAGCUAUCUGCAUCUCCAUGUUCAGUACAACAGUAUUCACAAGAGUCAAGAUAUGGAAACAACCUAAAUGUGAACAGAGAAGUGGAUAAAGAUGAUGUGGUACAUAUAUACAAUGGAAUAUUAUCCAGCCAUAAGAAAGAAAUCCUGUCAUUUACAUUGUGUACACACACACACACACACACACACACACACACACACACACACACAGAUACAAACUUCAGCUACAUAUUUGUAUCCUUUUCAACCCCAAAGCUAAAAUCAAGUCCAAUGAGAACACAUUAGAAUAAUUUCCAUCAAAGUCAAAGGCCAAACAAGCCUAUCCCUUUUACUACUGUUGUAGAGGUACGAGCUGUCACAAUUAGGUGAUUGAAAGAAAACACAGGAGGGGCGCCUGGGAAUGUUAAAGAAAAAGUAAAAUGACCAUUAUUUGCAGAUGAUAUUAUUAUAUACCUAGAGAAUCAACUAAAAACCUUUAUAGUUUUGUAACCAGGUAAGGUGGUGAAAAUUAACAUAUAGAAAAUAAUGCCUUCACAUACACCAUCAACAAGAAGGUAGAAGAUAAAAUGCUUCAAUACCACCAAAAACAAAGAAAAAGACCUGAGAAUAAACUUAACAAGAAAUGCCAAGAAAUCUCUCAAACUCUGAGGGACACAGAAGAAGGCUUGAGCAAAGAGAAAGGCAUACAAUAUUCUCAGUGGGAAAGACUCAUCACCUAAAUGUCAUUCUUCCUACAUUAACCUAAAAAUAUAACACAGUACCAAUAAAAACAAAAAGGAUUUUUUUGAAACAGGCAAAUCUACCUUAAAGUUCAUAUAGUAAAACAUAGCCAAGAAAAUUCUGAAAAUUAAAGGUAAUGAAUGAGAAUUCACUUUGCCAAAUAUCAAAACAUGCUCUAAAGCUAGAAUAAUUAAAACGUGUACUGAAACAUAAAUACACAAACUGACGUACAGAAUUGAAAGUCCACCCAAAUGUAUAUGACAUGUGGCAAAGUAUAUCACAUAUAGUAAAGGUAUUUGAACAAGUGCAAGAAAGAUGACCUGUUUAAUACAAGGCAUUGCAACAAAUGGGUGGCCAUUUGGGAAAAAAUUAAGUUGGACCCACACUUUUCACCAAAAUAAAUUCCAAAUGGAUAAGAGAUUUAAAGGUAAAUAAUGAAAUUCUAAAAGUACUUUAAGGAACCACAGGAUAAUUUUUCAUACUCUUCUACUAGAGAAGAUCUUUCUAGGUAUGAUAGAGAACCAAGAAGCCUUAAAAGUUCAAUGAGUAUGACCUAAUUAAGAACUAGAGGGUAUUCAUGACAUGUGAAAUAAGUCAGUCAGAGAAAGACAGAUAUCAUAUGAUUUCACUCAUAUGUGGAAUUUGAGAAAGUCGACAGAUAACAUAGGGGAAGGGAAG